GCGCACGUGGCGUAAUUGGUAGCCGCGCUAGACUUAGGAUCUAGUGCCGUGAGGCGUGGGGGUUCGAGUCCCUUCGUGCGCA
rnacentral:tRNA from 1 species